rnacentral:rRNA from 1 species
GUGGAAAAGGAAGUUAGAACACUCAGACAGCCAGGAGGUUGGCUUAGAAGCAGCCAUUCCUUUAAAAAGUGCGUAACAGCUUACUGGUCAAGUGUCCUUGCGCCGAAAAUGUAACGGGGCUAGAGCAAAACACCGAAAUCACGGAUUGUGUGUGGAUUUAUUUUCAUGCAUGAUGGUAGAAGAGCGUUCACUAGAGCGUUGAAGAGAGAGACGUGAGUCCUCUUGGAGUUAAGUGAAGUGAGAAUGUAGGCAUGAGUAACGCAAAGGCAGGUGAGAAACCUGCCCGCCAAAAACCCAAGGAUUCCAGAGCAAGGAUAAUCCGCUCUGGGUUAGUCGGCCCCUAAGGCAAAGCCGAAAGGCGUAGUCGAUGGGAAAGGGAUUAAUAUUUCUCUACUAAUCAGAUUGUGCGAUGGACAGACGCGGAAGGUCCAGCCCUGCCAGGGAACGGUUGUCCUGGUCUAAGGUCAAAGGCGUGCUUUUUUUAAUAGAUGAAGCUUAGCUGAAGACCGAAUGCCAAGCAAUUGAAAGAAAGCUGAAGAGGGUUUCGCCAUGCCGCCAAGAAAUACGUUCUAAGUUUAGAUCUGAUUAACCGUACCGUAAACCGACUCAGGUAGGUGGGAUGAGUAUUCUAAGGCGAUCGAGAGAACUACAGCUAAGGAACUCGGCAAAUUCGCUCCGUAACUUCGGAAGAAGGAGCGCCAGUUUAGGAUGAAGAGCUUGCUUUUCGUUUUGAAUUGGCCGCAGUGAAAAGAUUCAGGCGACUGUUUAGCAAAAACACAGGACUCUGCUAACCCGCAAGGGGAUGUAUAGGGUCUGACACCUGCCCGGUGCCGGAAGGUUAAGAGGAGAUGUUAGCCUAGCUUGUCUAGGCGAAGCAUUGAAUUGAAGCCCCGGUAAACGGCGGCCGUAACUAUAACGGUCCUAAGGUAGCGAAAUUCCUUGUCGGGUAAGUUCCGACCUGCACGAAUGGUGUAACGAUCUGAAUGCUGUCUCAGUUGUAGACUCGGUGAAAUUAAACGACCAGUGAAAAUGCUGGUUACUUGCAGAAGGACGGAAAGACCCCGGAACCUUUACUGUAGCUUAAUCUUGGUUUUUUGUGAAGCAUGUGUAGCAUAGGUGGGAGAUUGUGAUCCUUAGUCGCUAGAUUAAGGGGAGUCACCAAGUGAAAUACCACCCUUGUUUUUUGGAAAAUCUAAUUUGCGCAAGCAAAGACAGGGUUUGGUGGGCAGUUUAACUGGGGUGGUUGCCUCCUAAAGAGUAACGGAGGCGUACAAAGGCCGGUUCAGCAUGUAUGGAAAGCAUGUGUAGAGCGUAAUGGCAAAAGCCGGCUUGACUGUGAGACCGACGGGUCGAUCAGGUGUGAAAGCAGGUCAUAGUGAUCCGGUGGUUCUGAGUGGAAGGGCCAUCGCUCAACGGCUAAAAGGUACUCCGGGGAUAACAGGCUUU